GCGAGUCUCUGAACUCCCAACCUUUGUGAACGUACCACGUUGCUUCGGCAGAUCGCCCCAGGGCCUGCAGUGUGCUGCCCCGGAGCCAGGCGCCCGCCGGGGGACCCAAACAUCUGUUUUUAACACUGAUCCUCUGAGUCGUGACAUAACAAAUCA
rnacentral:misc_RNA from 1 species